AUAACUCAAAUCUGGAUAAACAUUGAAAAACUUUAACCAGGAAUAAUGCGAGUAACUCCUGCUUGCUGCCCGUAAGUUGAAAUCCGUGACGGAACUCUGGAAACUUCUCCGGCCUGUAAAUUAGACCUACCUCUCCUAGUUUCUCUCUCUCUCUCUCUCUAUGAGGCCUUACUGUCUCACCCAUGUAGCCUAAUUCACCAUCUCUAUGAAUAAAGCGGGUAGAGAGCUACCUUUCUCUCUAAAAAAAAAAAAAGGGAAUAAUGCGAGUAACAUUUUCUAUUAAUUAGUUUCUAAAUAAUUAUAAGACGUUGGUAACUAAUAACUAAUUAAAUUAAUUAAUAACACCAUGUGACUUAUUAAAUUAAUAUAUAAUUAAUUAAAUAAUCGAACAAUUAAUUUAUUAUUAUCUAUAAUCAAUUAGCUAAUUAAAUUAUAAACUAAUUUAAUAUGUUUUUUCAAAUAAUAACUAAUAUUUAUAUUAAUUAAGUAAUUAAUAUUUUAACUUAUCUAAAUAAUUUAUUAACUAAGUUUUGACUUUCAAAUAACUAAUUAAUUAGUUAACAUAUUUAAUUUAUUUUUUAUAACUAAUUAACUAAUUAAUAAUUACAUGCUUCUCCAUCAUCUUAUAGAAUAUUCCUUGUUAAUUAAUUAAUUAACUU
rnacentral:lncRNA from 1 species